UGGCUGUCGUCAGCUCGUGUCGUGAGAUGUUGGGUUAAGUCCCGCAACGAGCGCAACCCUUGUCUUUAAUUGCCAUCAUUGAGUUGGGCACUUUAAAGAGACUGCCGGUGUUAAACCGGAGGAAGGUGGGAUGACGUCAAGUCCUCAUGGCCCUUAUGUCCAGGGCUACACACGUGCUACAAUGGGCGAGACAGAGCGACGCGAAGCCGCGAGGUGGAGCAAAUCGCAGAAAAUCGCCCUCAGUUCGGAUUGGAGUCUGAAACCCGACUCCAUGAAGGUGGAAUCGCUAGUAAUCGCGCAUCAGCAUGGCGCGGUGAAUACGUUCCCGGGCCUU
rnacentral:rRNA from 1 species